rnacentral:rRNA from 1 species
UACGUAGGGGGCUAGCGUUGUCCGGAAUCAUUGGGCGUAAAGAGCGUGUAGGCGGCUCGGUAAGUCCGCUGUGAAAGUCCAGGGCUCAACCCUGGGAUGCCGGUGGAUACUGUCGGGCUAGAGUCCAGUAGGGGAGUGUGGAAUUCCCAGUGUAGCGGUGAAAUGCGCAGAUAUUGGGAGGAACACCAGCGGCGAAGGCGGCACUCUGGGCUGGUACUGACGCUGAGGAGCGAAAGCGUGGGUAGCGAACAGG